UUAGUCUAUCGUGCUGACCUGAAGAUAUGCAGACCUGUCUGAUCUUGGAAGCUAAGCAGGGUCAUGCUUGGUUCAUGCUUGUAUGGAAGACCAACAGAGAACACACAGGAAUUUCUAAG
rnacentral:rRNA from 1 species